rnacentral:rRNA from 1 species
UGGGGAAUAUUGCACAAUGGGCGAAAGCCUGAUGCAGCGACGCCGCGUGCGGGAUGAAGGCCUUCGGGUUGUAAACCGCUUUUAAUUGGGAGCAAGCGAGAGUGAGUGUACCUUUUGAAUAAGCACCGGCUAACUACGUGCCAGCAGCCGCGGUAAUACGUAGGGUGCAAGCGUUAUCCGGAAUUAUUGGGCGUAAAGAGCUCGUAGGCGGUUUGUCACGCCUGGUGUGAAAGUCCAUCGCUUAACGGUGGAUCUGCGCCGGGUACGGGCAGGCUAGAGUGCAGUAGGGGAGAUUGGAAUUCCCGGUGUAACGGUGGAAUGUGUAGAUAUCGGGAAGAACACCAAUGGCGAAGGCAGAUCUCUGGGCUGUUACUGACGCUGAGGAGCGAAAGCAUGGGGAGCGAACAGGAUUAGAUACCCUGGUAGUCCAUGCCGUAAACGGUGGAUGCUGGAUGUGGGGCCCUUCCGCGGGCUCCGUGUCGGAGCUAACGCGUUAAGCAUCCCGCCUGGGGAGUACGGCCGCAAGGC